rnacentral:rRNA from 1 species
AUUGAACGCUGGCGGCAGGCUUAACACAUGCAAGUCGAGCGGGGGAGGUUGCUUCGGUAACUGACCUAGCGGCGGACGGGUGAGUAAUACUUAGGAAUCUGCCUAUUAAUGGGGGACAACAUCUCGAAAGGGAUGCUAAUACCGCAUACGCCCUACGGGGGAAAGCAGGGGAUCACUUGUGACCUUGCGUUAAUAGAUGAGCCUAAGUCGGAUUAGCUAGUUGGUGGGGUAAAGGCCUACCAAGGCGACGACCUGUAGCGGGUCUGAGAGGAUGAUCCGCCACACUGGGACUGAGACACGGCCCAGACUCCUACGGGAGGCAGCAGUGGGGAAUAUUGGACAAUGGGGGGAACCCUGAUCCAGCCAUGCCGCGUGUGUGAAGAAGGCCUUAUGGUUGUAAAGCACUUUAAGCGAGGAGGAGGCUCUUUUGGUUAAUACCCAAGAUGAGUGGACGUUACUCGCAGAAUAAGCACCGGCUAACUCUGUGCCAGCCGCCGCAGUAAAAC